AGGACGAACGCUGGCGGCGCGCUUAACACAUGCAAGUCGAACGUGAAGCCCGGGCUUGCCCGGGUGGAAAGUGGCGAACGGGUGCGUAACACGUGAGCAACCUACCCCGAAGACCGGAAUAACCCAAGGAAACUCGGGCUAAUACCGGAUGCCCUCACCUCGUCGCAUGGCGAGAUGAGGAAAUGGAUUCCGCUUCGGGAUGGGCUCGCGGCCUAUCAGCUUGUUGGUGGGGUAACGGCCUACCAAGGCGACGACGGGUAGCUGGUCUGAGAGGAUGUCCAGCCACACUGGGACUGAGACACGGCCCAGACUCCUACGGGAGGCAGCAGUGGGGAAUCUUGCGCAAUGGGCGAAAGCCUGACGCAGCGACGCCGCGUGCGGGAUGACGGCCUCGGGUUGUAAACCGCUUUCAGCAGGGACGAUUGUGACGGUACCUGCAGAAGAAGCCCGGCAACUACGUGCCAGCAGCCGC
rnacentral:rRNA from 1 species